GAUGAAGAACGCAGCGAAAUGCGAUACGUAAUGUGAAUUGCAGAAUUCAGUGAAUCAUCGAAUCUUUGAACGCAUAUUGCGCUCUCUGGUAUUCCGGAGAGCAUGCUUGUUUGAGUAUCAGUAAACACCUCAACUUCCAUAUCUUUUUUGAAAUGGGAGUUGGACUUGAGUGAUCCCAACGCUUUUCCUCACCGAAAAGUGGCGGGUUACUUGAAAUGCAGGUGCAGCUGGACUUUUCUCUGAGCUAUAAGCAUAUCUAUUUAGUCUGCCUAAAAAACAGAUUAUUACCUUUGCUGCAGCUAACAUAAAGGAGAUUAGUUCUUGUGCUGACUGAUGCAGGAUUCACAAAGACAGCUUCGGCCGACUUUGUAAACUCGAUCUCAAAUCAAGUAAGACUACCCGCUGAACUUAAGCAUAUCAAAAGCGGAGGA
rnacentral:misc_RNA from 1 species